CCAACGGGUAUCUCUUGAGCCCACAGAGUGGCCUAAAGGGAGUCAGGCCUCCUGUGGAGUUUGAAGAGAGGCCUCGAGAUGCUCUCCAGGCCAUGCAGGAAAAGAAGGCCUUCAUCUCGCGACGACGGAGGCGUCUCGUGGGUUUUCUCGAGCUGGGGAGCCAGUGUGGGAUUUCUCACGAGGUAUGACGGGGAGCUCAGGGAGCCUCUCGUGUGGCGCCAGGGAAGUCAAGUCUCCAUGCGAGUGGCGAGGGGGAACGCGUCAUUGCUCUUGAGUCAUGGUAGGGGAAUCGGGAUUCAAGACGCAUUGAAGGAGGAUUUUCGAGGUCUUUCUCGGGUUGCGUCAGGAAACCCUGUGUUCCCUCGACUUGUGCCGGUGACCUCAGGGAGCUUCUAAGGGUGCCUCUGAGAAGUCGGGAUACUGUGGAUUUGGGAGGGGCCUCUCGGGCCUCCACUGUUUUUGGUGUAAUGGAAGAGGGCCUCAUCUCGAGUGGAGUCAGGAACCUCAGGGUUCCUCUCCAUUUCGGACUCCGAUCGCAGGGUCCCUUCAGAGUUGGGACCGGAGAGUCAGGCCUCGUCUUGAGUGGAGGAAUGGAACUCUGCUUGCCUCUCGUGUUGUUCAUGGGAUGACAGGCCUCUUGUUGAGCUGUGUGUGGAACCUGCGGCUUUUACCGAAUGAUGCACGGGAGUGUCAGUGACCCUUCGUUUUGUGCCUUCGUCCACAGGGUUGCCUUCGAAGAGGUGUCCGGGCAUCGGGUUCUUCUCAAGAGUGGGCCGGGAAAUCGGGGUAUUUCGGCAUGUGACACCACCCACGACGCUAUGUCUCGAAUUUCCUCGUGAGACCGGCCUCAUCCUGAGGGUUGCCUUCGAAGAGGUGUCCGGGCAUCGGGUUCUCCUCAAGUGCGGACCGGAAAUCAGGGUCUUUCAGCAUGUUGCACCACCCACGAGGCUACGUCUCGAAUUUCCUCGUGAGAUCGGCCUCAUCCUGAGGCGCGCAGGAAAAUCCGGGAACCCUUUCCAGACAAAGCAGGGGAAUCGACCCUCCUUUCGGGAUCAGGAGGAGAGAAAGGGCUCAGAUGAAGUAGUGCCGGGAACCUCGGUGCUCCCCUUGAGUGAAACUGGGUUACCUUCGAAGAGGUGACCGGGCAUCGGGAUCUUAUCAAUAGCGGACCAGGAAAUCGGGGUCUUUCAGCAUGUGGCACAACACACGAGGCUACGUCUCGAAUUCCCUCGUGAGACUGGCCUCAUCCUGAGGUUCGCCGGGAAGUCUGGGAACCCCUUCCAGACAAAGCAGGGGAAUCGACCCUCCUGUCGCCAUCAGGAGGGGAGAAGAGGCUCAGCUGAAGCAGUGCUGGGAACCUCCAUGUUCUCCUCGAGUGAGACCGGGGUGUCAGGGAAAUUUGGGGGUCGCAUCAAGGGUGUCAAGUACCGUUUCACACUUCAAGACGGAACAUGGGACUUCGCUGGAGACGCUAUAGCUGACAGGGGCCUCAUAUUUCGAUGACGGAGGAGCCACGUUGUUUUUCUCCAGUUGCCGCGGGAUUCUCGAAUUACAACGGGAAAUACAGUCUUCCUCUUGUGUUGGCCCAGGGAAGUCCAAUCAUCCAUUCGAGUUGCGAGGGAGAGCUGGGGAUUGCACUUGAGUCAAUGCAGGACAAAAAAGACCUCAUUUAGGCUUGUGUCCAGGACCGAGUUUUCCUCUACAGGGGCGACACGGAUCUCGGGAUCCCAUUCCAGACUCACCCAAGUAGUCAGGCCUCGGCUCGAGGGGAAGCAACGGACUCCGCUCUCCUCUAGAGUAGCGACGUGUAUCUCUUGGAGGCUACUGAGUGGCCUAAAGGGAGACAGGCCUCCAGUGGAGUUUGGAGAGUGGACUCGGGAUUGCUCUCUAGGUCAUGUAGGAAAAGAAGGCCCUCAUCUUACGAUGACGGGGGCGUCUCAUGUGUUUUCUCGAGCGGAGGUGCCAGUGUGGGGUUUUCAUGAGGUAGGACGGGGAGCGCAGGGAGCCUCUCGUGUGGCGCCAGGGAAGUUAGGUUUCAAUGGGCGUGGCGAGGGAAAUGCGUCAUUGCUCUCCAGUCAUGGUAGGGUAUCGGGCCUCAAGACGCAGUAAAGAAGGACUCUCGAGGUCUUUCUCAGAAUGCAGCAGGAAACCCUGGGUUCACUCGACUUGUGCCAGUGACCGCAGAGAGCUUCUGAGGGUGCCUCUGAGAAGUCAGGGAUACUGUGGAGUUGGGAGGGGCCUCUCGGGACUCCACUGGGUAUGGCGCAAUGGAAGAGGGCCUCAUUUCGAGUUGAUGCAGGAACGUCAGGUUUCAUCUACAUUUCUGACUCCGAUCGCACGGUCCCUGCAGAGUUGGGAAAGGAGAGUCAGGCCUUCUCUUGUGUGGAGGAACGGAACUCCGCAUGCCUCUCUAGUUCUUCAAGGGAUGACAGGACACUUGUCGAUCUGUGUUUGGAAUCUGCGUGUUUUUCCGUACUAUGCAUGGGGAUGUCAGUACCCCUUCGUGUUGUGCAUUCAUCCACAGGUUUGCUUUCGAAGAGGUGCCCGGGCAUCGGGUUCUUAUUAAGAGCGGACCGGGAAAUCGGGGUCUUUCCGCAUGUGGCACCACCCACCAGGCUACAGUCUCGAAUUUCCUAGU